GGCAGUUCUCGGGUGAUGCACCCUGGAAUUGGGCUCCCUCCUCUCUGGUUCCAGGUACGUCAUCUGAGAACUGCA
rfam:Myotis davidii contig225844, whole genome shotgun sequence.